rnacentral:misc_RNA from 1 species
UCCUGCUUGGCGCAGGCAGUUCCUCUAGAGUGCCCAACUAAAUGCUGGCAACUAGAAGCGAGGGUUGCGCUCGUUGCGGGACUUAACCCAACAUCUCACGACACAAGCUGACGACAGCCAUGCACCACCUGUGCAGGCUCCGAAGAGCGCCGUCUUUCAACGGUUUCACCCUGCAUGUCAAACCCAGGUAAGGUUCUUCGCGUUGCAUCGAAUUAAGCCGCAUGCUCCGCCGCUUGUGCGGGCCCCCGUCAAUUCCUUUGAGUUUUAGCCUUGCGGCCGUACCCCCCAGGCGGGGUGCUUAAUGCGUUAGCUUCGGCACGGAAGGGGUCGAUGUCCUCCCACACCUAGUGCCCAUCGUUUACGGCGUGGACUAC